rnacentral:lncRNA from 10 species
CGUGGCUUGAGUUUCGGCAAGUGAGGUCAUAAAAAGUAGCAGGCUUGCCCAGAUCGCUGAUAGGCAGACUUGCCGGCCCACCCUGGAUGGAGGAGGCCCUGUGGACCUCCGGUGGGGCAGAGUACCGACCCAAAGACCCUCCGGCCCCGCAGCCUCCGGCUGUCCGCAGUUCCUCCAGUUAUUACCACUCAGCCAUCCUUUGCAUGCAUGCAACCAGUUUCUAUUUUUGUGUAGGGCAGAGCCUUUCAGGCAAAUGGAAGCGCCUUACCCCUGCCACAAGACGAAUGGAUAAACAAAAUGCCGUCUCUCCAUACAAUGGAAUAUUCUUCAGACAUGAAAAGGAAUGAAGUACUGACAUGCUACAACGAGGAGGAACUCCAAAAGCCUCACCCGAAGUGAAAGAAGCCAGGCACAAAAGGUCAUAGAUUUUACGAUCCCAUUGAUAGGAAAUAGCCAGAGUUAAGCAAAUUCAUAGAGCCAGAAACCAGACUGGUUGUUGUCAGGGGCUGGGGGAAGGGGAAAUAUCGGCUUAAUGGGCACAGGAUUUUUUUUUAGGGUGAUGAAAAUGUUUUGGAACUAAAUAGAAGUGGUGGUUUCACAGCAUUGUGAUAUACUAAAUGCCACUGAAUUGCUCACUUUCAAAUGUUUAAUUUUAUAUAAGGUGAAUUUCACCCGAAGUUUUACAAGUGUAAAUGUUUCAUAUAUGGGGUUUCUGCAUAAGACAUUGUUUGAAAAAAGAAUUUGCAGCCCUAAAAAAGAAUGAGUUCAUGUCUUUUGCAGGGACAUGGAUGAAGCUGGAAGCCAUCAUCCUCAGCAAACUAACACAGGAACAGAAAACCAAACACCGCAUGUUCUCACUCAUAAGUGGCAGUUGAACAUUGAGAACACAUGGACACAGAGAGGGGAACAACAUACACCAGGGCCUGUUGGGGGAUGGGGGUGAGAAGCGGGAAGUUGGAGGAUGGGUCAAUAGAUGCAGCAAACCACCAUGGCACACAUAUACCUAUGUAACAAACCUGCACGUUCUGCACAUGUAUCCUGUUUUUUUUUUUAGAAGAAAUAAAUAAAUAAAACGAAUGAGGUCUACUUUUACAUUAAAAAAAAAAAAAGAAUUCCACUACCAGGUUAAAAAAAAUGUUUGGAGGGAUGAGAGACAAGACUGUUUGCCUCUUCCCCCUCAAAAAAACCACAGAAGAAUUUUUCUUUUUCUUUUUCUUUUCUUUGUCUUUUUUUUUUUUUUUUUUUUGAGACAGUUUCACUCUGUCACUCAGGCUGGAUGAAGUGCAGUGGCGCGAUCUCGGCUCACUGAAACCUCUGCCUCUAGGGUUCAAGCGAUUCUCCUGCCUCAGCCUCCCUAGUAGCUGGGACUACAGGCACCCACCACCACGCCAGACUAACUUUUGUAUUUUAAGCAGAGACCGGGUUUUGCCAUGUUGGCCAGGUUGGUCUCCAACUCCUAGGCUCAAGCGAUCCGCCUGCCUCAGCCUCCCAAAGUGCUGGGAUUACAGGCAUAAGCCACUAUGCCUGGCCACAGAAGAAUUUUUCUAAGAAGGAGAAUCUUAUUAGGCAAAAUGUCUUGAAUGAGCCAAUUGGGAAUGGCGGCAAGUCUUCAACAGGCGGCAAAACACAGGGAAAGCCCUGGCAAAGGAAGGAGAAGAACUAGGGGCUACUCCUGAGGACUGGCAGGGAGGGAGGGAGAGAAGAUGGCUCACCAAAACGGCGGCGGCACAGGGGACUUCGCAGGCGACGCAUGUGCAAUCUUCCAUCUGUGUGCGCUGCUGUGAUGUAAAAUCCAAAAAGCACCCUCCAGAAACCACUUUCCAGAAACCACCCUCCAGAAACUGUCAACUCUGCGGCCCACACGAAUGCCUGGGGUGAUUGGGGCUUCUGUGAGAGCGCGAAUGCUCUGAGCAGAGAGGAGAGGCUGCUCUGGUCAGCUCCGGCUGCUGUAACACCACCACAGAUUCGGUGGCUUCAGCAAGUUAUUGUCUCAUCUUCCUGGAGGCUGGACGUUCGAGAUCAAGGUUUUGGCCGGAAUAAUUUAGAUUGUUAGUGCUGGAAGAAACUUGAAGACCACCCUCUCCAAAGCCUCUUUUUACAGAUGAGGAAGCUGAGGCCUAGAGGUUGGAAAUGAUUUACCCAACAUCCCACAGUCUUCCAGUUCCAAGGCUGGAACCAGAACUGGCUUCACACAGGCUUGCCUUCUCUCAUCUCGACCAGGGCCCUACAGGCUCUGAAUUGCUUCUCCAGACCAGACCAGCAAGCUCAGAUCAGAACUGCGUUUUCUGCCAUGGCAUUGCUCCCCAGCCACAGAGGGCUCGGGCAGUCGGGUUCUGUGUCAGUGGAGGACAUGGUCCAAGUUGUGUUUGCUCAUCGAGGGGGAGCUCAGGUUCACCUGACCCAGCAGCUCCCGUGGCUGCUUGACAAACCCAGCGACCUAAGCCCAUUGCUAUUCACAGAUAGCCCAGCCCUCAUCCUAGGGCCAUCAGGAGACCUCAGCUUCUUUCUCCAGUGACUGAAUUCAGUGCUCUAACUCCCUACCUUGCACAGCUGAGCAUGGAGCUACUAAUAGCUCUGUUAUCAUGUUCCCGUUUUAAUACAAACAAACAGCCGUAGCCCAGGAAAGAGAUUUGUUAGAGAGGUUGCUUGCCUUCUGCUCUGGCAGGAGACCUUCACAGCACCAAGCACCUGGCUGCUCUGUGGGGUUUGAGUGAAAUGAUGACUCUUCCUUCACACUCUCCCCUUAGCCUGCUGUUUUCUUCCUUUCCUCCACCUUGGAGGCCACCUAGAAAUUUUGAUGUAGAAAAUUCCAAUCUUGUAGAAUAUCAGGGCUGGGAAAACCUCAGAGAGUCCCUGCUCUCAUGACCCAGUGAUCAGACACAGGACUGACAUAUCCAGCCCUCUGCUCGUGAGAGGCUGGGCCGGUUAUUAGUUACUGCUUGUCAUCUCCAAAUCCCCCACAUUCAGAUGUUGGGGGACUCUGCAAGCCCCAUUUCUGCUUUGCCAACUGCUCUUCAAGAAGCUCUGCCAGGAGGGGCCAGAGGCCAGACACACUCCUUCCGGUCUGUUUCUUGUUUCUAUGAGCAGCACCGUGGCCCACUGCUUCACCCAGGCAGUAGCAGUUCCCUCCCUCAGCAGUGAAAGAACCGAGUUUGCAGUUUUACUGAUUCCUGCAGCACCCCCACAUGGUGCUCCCUCAAGGAUGCCAGCUCCAGCCACCUGGAGCCCCCUCCAUGGAGCUCUGAGGUUCACUUCUGUGGGGCUCCUCCUCUAAUCUUCCAAAUUUUAAUAAUUUCAACUUCUACUCUUUGCUCCCCCAGGCUUAAGGGUGGUAGCUGCUUUCUGAAGUUGCUACCUUCCAUUACACCUGAGAGUUUGCUUUUUGCCUUUCUACUUACAUAGAUAACAAUUCUUCAUAUAUUGAAUUCUAUUAAAAUAACUGGGAGGUUUGGCUGGGAGUGGUGGCUCAUGCUUGUAAUCCUAGCACUUUGGGAGGCCAAGGCAGGCCGAUCACCUGAGGUCAAGAGUUCGAGAUCAGCCUGGCCAACAUGGCGAAACCCCAUCUUUUUUUUUUUUUUUUUUUUUGAGACGGAGUCUUGCUCUGGCACCAGGCUGGAGUGCAGUGGCGUGAUCUCGGCUCACUGCAACCCCCGCCUCCUGGGUUCAAGCGAUUCUCCAGCCUCAGCCUCCUGAGUAGCUGGGAUUACAGGCAUGUGCCACCACACCCAGCUAAUUUUUGUAUUUUUAGUAGAGAUGGGGUUUCACCAUGUUUGCCAGGAUUGUCUCAAUCUCCUGACCUCAUGAUCCACCCGCCUUGGCCUCCCAAAGUGCUGGGAUUACAGGCAUGAGCUACCGUGUCCGGCCAGGGUGAAGCCCCAUCUUUACUAAAAAUACAAAAAUUAGCCAGGCAUGGUGGCGGGUGCCUGUAGUUCCAGAAACUUGGGAGGCGGAAGCGGGAGAAUCAUUUGAACCUGGGAGGUGGAGGUUGCAGGGAGCCAAGAUCUUGCUACUGCACUCCAGCCUAGGUGACAAAGUGAGACUCCAUCUCAAAACAAAAACAAACCAGCAAACAAAAACAAAAAACUGGAAGGUUUUCAUCAACUCUGACUGAUAUGCUGGCAGAGCUGAGAUCCAAACCUAGGUCUUCUUUCUCCUGGUUCAGGACUCUUUGCACUGGAAUCCAAUAAAUAUUUGUUCAAUUAAAGGAAUAGUAAAGUGAGUUCACUCCAUUCAUUGGUUCCAACGUUAAUAAGAUGUUGUUUCAGAUUCCCAUCACCACCACCACCAACAACAAAUUAUCACCUAAUUGCAGCCUAGACUUCCUGCCAUCCAAGUGUCAAGCUCUAUCACAGGCUAUUAGAAUUGAGAGGGACUAUGGCCAGGCACGGCCGCUCAUACCUGUAAUCCCAGCACUUUGGGAGGCCGA